UUUCAAAUCUGUCAGUUGGAGUGGACGUCACUCUAUGUUUGAGCAUUGCAGAGUGUGCACUGAGCAAUCUAAUCUUCUAUAAAAUGUCUACGGUUUCUGGAACCAUGAAAAAGGAGACGAUGAGAACUUAGCCAUCAUCCUCAGGGAAAAGUACGGCUGGAAGAAUUACCUCCCAAGCAGACUCCAAGAGCAAGACUACCGCUAGGCUGAGCAGAAACAUGCACGGGGAACCCUGCCAGAUAGCCCGACGCCACCCGGCGUCUCUCGCCAAGGACGGAAGAUUUUUCAUCAAAUGGAGAGGGGACAUAGAAAGCAAGACAGCGGGACCGGACAACAUACACACAAGAGACAAAUCCCCGAGCCCACUGAAAGCGUCGAGGGGAGAGCUAUAUCCGCCCGCGCGGAUGUCCCACUAAAAGGAAACAGCCGCUCUAGCCACUGGUAGAAACAAACGCCGGCCAGCUAAAAGUCUACACAGGAGGAUAUCCCUGGACGCUGUAUGUAAUACCAGUGAGGUCCGAUCCGGGCACUAGCCUCUACCAGGCUUUGGGAGGCGGCCGGAAACAGUAGAAAUCGGCCAAAUAGAGAGAUAAGCAUGCCAAGGGAGUUUGUCUCAACGGACAAGCCAAGGGAGUUCUCCGUUGAGACAAACUCCCUUGGCAUGCUUAUCUCUCUAUUUGGCCGACUUCUACUCUUUCCGACCGCCUCCCCAAGCCUGGUAGAGGCUAGUCGGGCACCCGUCGGCAGGUGUCCGAGGAGCCUCCCAGACAGAAGGGGGCUAUCAGCAAACGGAUCAGAAGGACUUUUACACAUGAACCGGCUGGUGAUCUAGACAAGCAUGAGCAGACAGAA